GCCUGGGUGGCUCAGUCGGUUGAGCAUCUGACUUCAGCUCAGGUCACGAUCUCGCGGUCCGUGAGUUCGAGCCCCGUGUUGGGCU
rnacentral:tRNA from 1 species